rnacentral:rRNA from 1 species
UACGGGAGGCAGCAGUGGGGAAUAUUGGACAAUGGGCGCAAGCCUGAUCCAGCCAUGCCGCGUGGGUGAAGAAGGCCUUCGGGUUGUAAAGCCCUUUAGGUGGGGAGGAAGGCAUUCAUGCUAAUACCAUGGAUGAUUGACGUUACCCACAGAAUAAGCACCGGCUAACUCCGUGCCAGCAGCCGCGGUAAUA